rnacentral:rRNA from 1 species
GAUGAACGCUAGCGGCAGGCCUAAUACAUGCAAGUCGAGGGGUAGAAGAGGCUUGCUUCUUUGGGACCGGCGCACGGGUGCGUAACGCGUAUGCAACCUACCUUCAUCUGGGGGAUAGCCCGGAGAAAUCCGGAUUAAUACCGCAUAAAAUCACAGGAUGGCAUUAUCCAAUGAUCAAACAUUUAUGGGAUGGAGAUGGGCAUGCGUGUCAUUAGCUAGUUGGCGGGGUAACGGCCCACCAAGGCGACGAUGACUAGGGGAUCUGAGAGGAUGGCCCCCCGCACUGGUACUGAGACACGGACCAGACUCCUACGGGAGGAAGCAGUAAGGAAUAUUGGUCAAUGGAGGCAACUCUGAACCAGCCAUGCCGCGUGCAGGAAGACUGCCCUAUGGGUUGUAAACUGCUUUUAUUCGGGAAUAAACCUUAUUACGUGUAAUAAGCUGAAUGUACCGAAGGAAUAAGGAUCGGCUAACUCCGUGCCAGCAGCCGCCGUAA